AUUGAACGCUGGCGGCAGGCCUAACACAUGCAAGUCGAGCGGAGCGGCGGACGGGUGAGUAAUGCCUAGGAAUCUGCCCGGUAGUGGGGGAUAACGUCCGGAAACGGGCGCUAAUACCGCAUACUCUCAGAUGUGCCUAGAUCGGAUUAGCUAGUUGGUGGGGUAACGGCCCACCAAGGCCACGAUCCCUAACUGGUCUGAGAGGAUGACCAGCCACACUGGAACUGAGACACGGUCCAGACUCCUACGGGAGGCAGCAGUGGGGAAUAUUGGACAAUGGGCGCAAGCCUGAUGCAGCCAUGCCGCGUGUGUGAAGAAGGUCUUCGGGUUGUAAAGUACUUUCAGAGGGGAGGCGUUACCAGCAGAAGAAGCACCGGCUAACUCCGUGCCAGCAGCCGCGGUAAUAC
rnacentral:rRNA from 1 species